rnacentral:ncRNA from 1 species
AGUGGAAAAUCGAAUAUUUCUCGUAUAUCUUUGGGAAUAUGGCCCAAAAGUCUCUACCCGGGAACCGUACAAUUUCCGGACUACGAGAAAAAUCGUUUUUUCU